rnacentral:rRNA from 1 species
UGGCGAACGGGUGAGUAAUAUAUUGGAACGUACCGAGUAAUGGGGGAUAACCAAUCGAAAGAUUGGCUAAUACCGCAUACGCUCUGAGGAGGAAAGCAGGGGACCUUCGGGCCUAGCGUUAUUCGAGCGGCCAAUAUCUGAUUAGCUAGUUGGUGGGGUAAAGGCCUACCAAGGCGACGAUCAGUAGCGGGUCUGAGAGGAUGAUCCGCCACACUGGGACUGAGACACGGCCCAG